rnacentral:ncRNA from 1 species
GAAACGGCAAACCACGGGAAACCAUGGGACGCAAAGCUAUGGGGGCUAAGGCGAGAACGCGAGGCCAGCCCGGCUGCCAA